rnacentral:rRNA from 1 species
UACGUAGGGUGCAAGCGUUGUCCGGAAUUAUUGGGCGUAAAGAGCGUGUAGGCGGCCCGAUUAGUCCGCUGUGAAAGUCCAGGGCUCAACCCUGGAAUGCCGGUGGAUACUGUCGGGCUAGAGUCCGGAAGAGGCGAGUGGAAUUCCUGGUGUAGCGGUGAAAUGCGCAGAUAUCAGGAGGAACACCGAUGGCGAAGGCAGCUCGCUGGGACGGUACUGACGCUGAGACGCGAAAGCGUGGGGAGCAAACAGG